rnacentral:lncRNA from 10 species
AGUUUAUAUAAUAUGCAUAAUGUUAAUAUUUAUUAAUAUUUCAGGGACAAUGGGAGUCAUGAAUAUGGAGAGACAAAACUAGAAUGAACCCCAAGGUGCUGCAUCAGAAUUGAAGAACAGAAGUGGCCCUGUUUCGUGCCCAGAGCAGAAGAGAACGAUGAAGAGCUCUGCUCUCCCAGGUCUUCCUGGUCUGUGUGUGUCCAGGUUUUGAGGGCCUCUCACAUACACGGCUCUGGACCACCCUUCCUUGAAGCAGCAUGACCCAUCUGGAUGUCCUCCUCAUCUCAGGAAUUUUCUAAUAAGCUGUCUAAAUCCAGAGAUCCGACCACAGAACAAUGAAUGCCAAAGAUGAGUUCUAAAGAUGCGAGUACUUUCUUUCUAAACGGACGCUGCUUUGUGUAUGGCUCUGCUCCUGGGGGCAGACGCGGCAGGCUAAGCCCUGCGGAGGAGGAGGUGAGUCCCAGCAGAGGGUCACUUCCUCUCAGUAGCCCGGCUGGUUUUCUCCACUGCAGGGUCAGACCAUAGCCCUGACCCAGCUAGACCCCCAUAAGCGCAUGACCUUGCUCUCACCGUGGGAAUAAAACUCGUGAUAGUCAGUUACAAAUACACAGCAAAUGAUGAGCAGCACAAUAUAAACACAGAUCUAGAUUGGUGGGUCUGAGGACUCAUUCUUAAAUUUGGAGGCCAUCACCUAAUCUUGUCUUUUCACUUUACAUAGCAGGAGACAGGGACCCAGAGAAGUGAAGAGGCGUUGCCUUAGGUUGCACAGCAGAUGACGCCUCUCAAGAUGGACCCUAGGUUGUCUGACUCCGUCUCACAGCUUUGCCCCAUUUAUCAUGAAGAUGAACGCUGGUAACACUGCUACCUACGAGCUGAGCUUGCACGCACAUUCCUGGUGUGUACAUGCAUGCGUGCACGCUCACGCAAUGUGCUAAGUGCACAGGAAGGAGACCAGAGCCCUGAGGCGUUCUUUUGAAGUCUAAGUACUGGUGUUUCGAAAGUUUAAUGAAACCUACUAGACUCUGAGCAAAAUUCGUUUUACGUUAACCUUAAUGAAAAGUUUAAUUAAGUUCUGACA